rnacentral:rRNA from 1 species
GACCUACGGGCGGCAGCAGGCGCGAAAACUUUACAAUGCGGGAAACCGUGAUAAGGGAAUCUCGAGUGCCAGCAUAUAAUGUUGGCUGUCCAGAUGCCUAAAAAGCAUCUGUUAGCAAGGGCCGGGCAAGACCGGUGCCAGCCGCCGCGGUAACACCGGCGGCCCGAGUGGUAACCGCUUUUAUUGGGUCGAAAGGGUCUGUAGCCGGCCAAGGAAGUCCCUUGGGAAAUCUGGCAGCUUAACUGUCAGGGUGCUAGGGGUUACGGCUAGGCGUGGGACCGGGAGAGGUGAGAGGGACCUUGGGGGUAGGGGUGAAAUCGUGUGAUCCUCGGGGGACCACCAGUGGCGAAGGCGUCUCACCAGAACGGGUCCGACGGUAAGGGACGAAAGCUAGGGGCACGAACCGGAUUAGAUACCCGUGUAGUCC